rnacentral:lncRNA from 1 species
AUUAAGAGUUAAUAGCACAAGUCAUUAUUGCUAUUAGGUUUUUGAUCCCUGAAUUAAGGGAUGUGCGGUUAGUAUGAUAGUGAUCUUCCAAAGUUGAGUUGGUAGUUGAUUGAAUAGUAUAAUCUAACAGAUAAAAAUGAUCAAAGGAGUAGAUCUAACUGCGAAAACUUGAUAGUACAAAAUACUUGGUACUAUUGAUAACAUAAUAACCUGACUCUUUUGUAAAAUAUAUGUAACAUUGCUUGAAUAUAAUUGGAAAAU